rnacentral:rRNA from 1 species
UUGAAAGGGAAACGAUUGAAGUCAGUCGUGCUGGCGCGAAAUCAACCUUCUCGUCUUGAGAUCANAUGGCGUGGGAGCCCUCAAAACCGCCCCGAAGCGUGAACUCUUGGUGAAAUGGAGACUUUCGUGUCCGCUGGUUAACACCAAUUUCGAACGUCAUAAAAAGCCUGGAGGGAUGUGGCUCCUUCGGGAGUGUUAUAACCUUUAGCGGAAUGUGGUGUUCGGGAUUGAGGAUUGCANNGAAUACCUUUAGGGCUCUUCCCCCUGGCUCUUCAUUUGGUAUCCUGGUGCUGACAGCUUGCUGACGUUGUUAGGAUUCGCCUUUGAACAUCCCNNGNNCNGANCNAANCGUUAAGGAUGUUGACGUA